GGGCAUCUCGAGAAACGGUCCGAACGGUCUUGAAAACCGUUGAACCCUCACGGGUUCCGUGGGUUCAAAUCCCACCCCCUCCG
rnacentral:tRNA from 1 species